rnacentral:lncRNA from 1 species
AACAACAGCUAUCUAUAUGGUUCCUAACUCCUUCCUCCAAAAAUAUUUUAUCAAGCUCGAUCAAAUGUAACAGGCGCCUCUCGGUUUGGAAAUUGGAACUACACUACUUAACCCCAUCAUGCAUGCUUGCAUGGAUCAAUGCAGGGCAAGGCAGCAAAUAAUGAAGCCGCAACUGUUACUUGUACUUGCUAAUUGUGUAAACCCAUGCCAAAGUUGACUUGAUGGAAUCUAAUCCUGCAGGCUGGCAUGCAUCAACCAGUAACACCAUUAUGUUUGGAGCUGCUAGAGAGAUCACAUCAGAUGUGCUGGUUUGCAACAUUUGGUGCGUGCGUCCGUCCGCAUUGAAGGUACGUACAUGUAUGAAUGUGAAUGGAACGCAUUCAUGAUUUGUUUCCUUUCUUUCUCCAUUGAUCACUUAGCAUGAUUGAAGGGGAAAAGGGGGAUGUGUAGUGUGGCAGUGUCAUAUACCAUGUACAUGUUGCCUAAAUAAAAGGCUAAAACUUGUAAGAGCCCCCAGUACCAGUGACAUGACUUUGCACAAUAAUGCACAAGUGGCAUGCAUGGUUGGUUGUACACCACCACCAGAGCUAGCUUGUAUUAGCCUCGAUCCCCCACUGCUCACCUGAUGUGUUGCUCGCCACCUGCUCCCGCUUGGCUCGUUUCUGUUGAGCUGCUAAAACUGGAGCUGCGGAUGAUUAGCACUGCCACUAUAGCCAUGCCACGGCACAUGCAUGUGUGUAUACGCAUAUGCAUGUACGUUCAUGCAUCCAUGCAUAGCAUCGCUGCACAAGGAUAUCGUAUGAAUUACAUCUUCACAUAUGCACAUUAUAUGACAGCCGAAUAGUAGAGUCGCUUUUUGCCCCAUCGAUCUGAGUCCUGGUGUGGGUGUGCCUGAAAACCUGCAGGUGUCUGACGGAAGUCUUUCUCUAGCUAGCUACCUGAGGUAUCAAAACG